ACCAUUCGAGGAAGCCCCGGCUAACUACGUGCCAGCAGCCGCGGUAAUACGUAGGGGGCUAGCGUUGUUCGGAAUCACUGGGCGUAAAGGGAGUGUAGNCGGAGAUGCAAGUCAGAAGUGUAACCUACGGGCUCAACCCGUAGCUUGCUUCUGAUACUGUUUCUCUUGAGUAGUGGAGGGGGAGACAGAAUUCCAGGUGUANCGGUGGAAUGCGUAGAUAUCUGGAAGAAUACCAGUAGCGAAGGCGAUCUCCUGGCCACAUACUGACGCUGAGGCUCGAAAGCGUGGGGAGCAAACAGGAUUAGAUACCCUGGUAGUCCACGCCGUAAACGAUGGACACUGGAUAUCGGGUGAUUCAGUUCAUUCGGUGUCGUAGCUAACGUGGUAAGUGUCCCGCCUGGGGAGUACGCUCGCAAGGGUGAAACUCAAAGGAAUUGACGGGGGCCCGCACAAGCGGUGGAGCAUGCGCUUUAAUUCGAUGCAACGCGAGGAACCUUACCUGGGUUUGACAUGGGGGUGAAAGUCUCCAGAGAUGGAGGCCCUUCCUUCGGGAACACUCUACACAGGUGCUGCAUGGUUGUCGUCAGCUCGUGUCGUGAGAUGUUGGGUUAAGUCCCGCAACGAGCGCAACCCUCGCCCUUAGUUGCCAUCAGGUAAUGCUGGGAACUCUAGGGGGACCGCCUGGUCCAACCAGGAGGAAGGUGGGGAUGACGUCAAAUCAUCAUGGCUCUUACGUCCAGGGCUAGACGCGUGCUACAAUGGUCGGUACAAAAGGAUGCCAAGCCGUGAGGCUGAGCUAAUCCCAAAAACCGGUCUCAGUCCGGAUUGGAGUCUGCAAUUCGACUCCAUGAAGCUGGAAUCGCUAGUAAUCGCGGAUCAGCAUGCCGCGGUGAAUAUGUUCCCGGGCCUUGUACACACCGCCCGUCAAGCCACGAAAGAUGGGAGUACCCGAAGUCGUGUGCCUAAUCCCGUUCGCGGGAAGGGUAACGCCGAAGGUAAGACUAUCGACUGGGGCUAAGUCG
rnacentral:rRNA from 1 species